GAUAAACGCUGGCGGCGCACAUAAGACAUGCAAGUCGAACGGACUUAACUCAUUCUUUUAGAUUGAGAGCGGUUAGUGGCGGACUGGUGAGUAACACGUAAGCAACCUGCCUAUUAGAGGGGAAUAACAGUGGGAAAUCAUUGCUAAUACCGCAUAUGCUAACAGUAUCGCAUGAUACAUUCAGGAAAGGAGCAAUCCGCUGAUAGAUGGGCUUGCGUCUGAUUAGAUAGUUGGUGGGGUAAUGGCCUACCAAGUCGACGAUCAGUAGCCGGACUGAGAGGUUGAACGGCCACAUUGGGACUGAGAUACGGCCCAG
rnacentral:rRNA from 1 species